GACGAACGCUGGCGGCGUGCUUAACACAUGCAAGUCGAACGGAAAGGCCCUGCUCUUGUUGGUUUCUCGAUUGGCGAACGGGUGAGUAACACGUGAGUAUCCUGCCCUUGUCUGUGUGAUAACUUCAGGAAACUGGGGCUAAUACCGGAUAGGAUCUCCUGCUGCAUGGUGGGGGUUGGAAAGUUUCGGCGGUUGGGGAUGGACUCGCGGCUUAUCAGCUUGUUUGUGGGGUAGUGGCUUACCAAGGCUUUGACGGGUAGCCGGCCUGAGAGGGUGACCGGCCACAUUGGGACUGAGAUACGGACCAGACUCCUACGGGAGGCAGCAGUGGGGAACAUUGCACAAUGGGCGGAAGCCUGAUGCAGCAACGCCGCGUGCGGGAUGACGGCUUUCGGGGUGUAAACAGCUUUCGCAUGUGACGAAGCGUGAGUGACGGUAAUGGGUAAAGAAGCACCGGCUAACUACGUG
rnacentral:rRNA from 1 species